AGCGGGGUCGCCCGGCGCGGCCGGGCUGUGUCGCUGCCGGGGACACUCCGGCCCGGGCCGUGCCACCCGUGCCACCCGCAGCCCACUGUGAGCAGGGACCCUGACAGCCAGCGGCACGUCCGGCCGCGAGAAAGCAAGGCUGAAACCGCGGAGGUUGUGUUUUUGUUGGUGGGGUUUGUGUUUUUAAAGGCACCUGCGAGCGGCCUGCUCCGUUUUUGCUGCUGGAAACCUCGUGUUUCUGUAUUAAACUUAACCCAAAUCCCUUAACUGCCGCUUGUGCUUAAGGGCACCUGAUUUCUUUGCUGUUGCAAACACGCCCUUGCCAUUGAGUCCCUGGUGGUUAUUUCCUGUGUGCUUCCAUCCCGUCUCAGUUUCCUCAUGGAUGUGCCCAGACGGAAUUUUAAGAGAUCAAGCCUGCCCACGGAGUCCAAACCCACUGGGUGGGUGUUUGGAAGGCACCCUGUUGCAGUGCUGAGAGGCAGCAGCUCUGACACAACCCUGCAGAACGCACCGCUUCCGCCCGCUCACGGCAAAGUCCAUGUGUUUUUAAUAUAUCCAUGUAUUUAUACAUGAAUCAGGAAUUCUGAGAAAGCUCUGCCUCACGCUAGCGACGUUUUAUGCUGCCCAGGCUUUCUUCUGCCUGAUGGCAGCGGUGAUAAAGGAAAAGCCAGGAAGGGCGCAGUGCAUCCUUAAAAACUUUAUUGGAGUGGCACGGUGCAGACUGCAAGUACAGUCACGAGUCUAAAUAUCCCCAACUUCAGUCCCUGCGCCAUCCCUGCCCGCAGCAGUGGGCGCUGCUGCCAGUGGCCUCCCUUUGCCAGCCCAGGGCAGAGCUGUGCACGUGUCAGGGUGUGCAGAAGGACAUUCUGCAGGGCAGGCAGGCGGAGGAAAGCCCACGGAGGUGGUGGCAGCCCAGGGCUGCGGCAGCCGACCCGUGAGAGGAGCCUGGCCGUGCCUGUCCGCGCAGGGAACGGCAGAAAUGGGGCUUUGCUCCCUGCAGCAACACCUUCUGCCCCAUCCCUGCGUUCCCUGCUGGACUGCCAGGAACAGGAGGACUGGAAACAGUGCAAAAUUAGAUAAAAAGGAGCCCGCCCCUGGACCUGAGCUUUGAUCGCUGCUGAGGCUCGUGCCCCUCCUUUCUUUCCCCACCCUAUGUGUUGGUAGCUGUUACAUUUGUAAUUUUUCCAGUCCAGGAGACUCUUGAAAUUAUGAGAUAACAGCACAGAUACAAUUGGAAAUAAUGGUAAUAAUAAUUAAAAAAAAAAAAAAGUCCUGCCCUAGUGUGUUUUAACUACUGCUAAAGGCAGCAUCCCAAAUACCUGCUUGAUGUCCAGACGUGCUGGAAGAAGCGGCUAAUCCCCAGUUUCUCACUCUUUAGCCACCCCACAGCUGGCCUGCAGCUUCCCCCCAGGAACUGGCCUGAGCAGAAGGCUGCAGAGCCCAGCUGAGGGUAACUAAAGCUCACUAUAUUCCAGAAUACUUAAUGCAUCCACUGCAACAUUAAAAACUGCUAGCACAUAUGAACUCUUGAGAGAUUUACAGGCACUAUGUGAAGAUUAUGUGCAAAAGUCUGCAGAUAUUUUUUCUCUCUUUUUUUUUUUUUUUUGGCAUAGCUCUUCAUUGAUGCAAUAUAUUUCCUGCAAAUAGAAAGCAUUCUUUCCCCCUGAAUGCUGAAGGGAAUUACAAAAAAGUCAGACUGUGUGAGUCCUAAUAAACUGAAUUGCUGGGGGAAAGAAACAAACCUGAGUCUACUACCGGGAAAAAAGAAAAGAUGAGGAAAAAGUCCAGCAAGUUUCACUGUACAAAAACCACCCAGAAUAACUAUGUGCUUUUGGCAUCAGCUUUUGUUCUUCAGGCAUAAUCAUCCACCCACAGAAAGAAGACGUUUUACAUGAUGCAGCAGGAUCCUGCGCGGGGAGAAAACAAAACAAAAAAAAUAAAGUCAGAAUGCUAAUCUUCAGUUAAUUGGAAAUAAAACUCACAACUCAAAUCUGGGAAUUGUGGGGACUAAGCCUCCAGAUGGGUCCAGAGCAGAGGUAAUAUCCUAGAUUUGCUGCUGGAGGACUGUCCCUUUGCCUAAAGAGAGGAUGAGACAAUGAGAAACUGAACCAAGCUGAAACCUGAAAUCAGGCAGCGACGAGACACUCAUCAGAGUCACAGUUCAGACAUAAAUACAAACUGCACCUGAAACACAGAUAAUUUGGCAAGAGUAUUUGUGCCUCCUGCUGUGUACAAAUAUUUUCACCUCUUCACCAUCAAUUGCUUUCUUUCAGACAGAGUGGGUUGUGCCUGACCUCGUCAUUCCCUGUUCCUAAACACCCUUUUACCCACACCAGUGAUCAGGCCACAGCUCAGAACAUCCUCCUGAAGAGAGAUAAAGACACUCCUCAGUUUUACACUGGGAACUGCAAGUGAGUUCUGGGGUCUCAGAAAAGGCACCUGUGGUGAUUUAAUAAUAACAACAACCAGAAACCCCAUCACUGACAUGCAAAAUGUAAAAUUCCCAGGGCAGAUGUAAUCAUCUGAUUCAGGCACCUGCUGCAUGCAUCCUCUGUGAGACCAACACGAUGGAACGAGCUUCACCCUGACCUGAAUCAAUUUUCUCUACUUCUGGAUAAAAAAAGCCAAACAACUCUUUUUACCUUCCCCUUGUCUCCCUUUUUCCCCCCCUUUUUUUGAAUAUAGAAACAGCUGCCUGCCUUUCCCCACCAUGUUCAUUCAUACUUUUUUAAUGAAAAGUAUGUAGGUCUUCAUUAAUUUAAAAAAAAAAAUUAUCAUAAUAACUUGGGAACCUGGCUGGGGUUGUACUUUUAAAUCACUUUUGGGAUGCUGUUACUCAAAACUGUCCAGAAAUGAGAAAAGUGGUGGGGAGGCAGCUACAGGCAUGCAAAGUGGGACUCUUAGAUCUACAAAUCUGGGAAGGAGAAGCCUGUGGAGCAUGCACUGAAGCCUCCCUCAUAGGACAACACUCUGUCUGAAAGAUACAUAUUUUUUUUUUGCCCCUGUUUAUUGCCAAUUUCUCUUGAAAUAGGAAGGGGCCUUUCUCCUCUGUGCGUGUUUACAAAAAGGGAUAAAAUUCAACAUAUUGAUGGAAAAAUCCCCCCAAAAUAACAACCCUGAACUGUAAGUCCAAAAUCCAUCUACCCCUCUUGUAUGACUGUCCAUACUACAAUAAAUGUGUUUGUACCGUU